rnacentral:rRNA from 1 species
UUAACGUAUCACCUAGCAGGCAUGCUACUAGUCGAGGAUCAGUCACUGACUGAUAGUCAGGCUGUACGAGCAGCAUGGUAUGAUGUCCAUCGAUGCAGCAUGAUGCAGCAUGCUGCGGUAUGAGGAGACUUCCGUUUGUAAAGUACGUUCAUCGGGCAGAGUAGUAAUGGUAAUACGUUCAGUCAGUGACGUACCUGCAGAAGAAGCACCGACUACUCGUGCCAGCAGCGCGGUAAUACAGUAGGUUGCAAGCGUUAAUCGGAAUUACUGGGCGUAAAGCGCGCGCAGGCGGUCUGUUAAGUCAGAUGUGAAAUCCCUGGGCUCAACCUGGGAACUGCAUGCGAUACUGCAAGCUGAGUCUGUAGAGGGGGGUAGAAUUACAGGUGUAGCGAUGAAAUGCGUAGAGAUCUGGAGGAAUACCGGUGGCGAAGGCGGCCCCCUGGACGAAGACUGACGCUCAGGUGCGAAAGCGUGGGGAGCAAACAGGAUUAGAUACCCUGGUAGUCCACGCCGUAAACGAUGUCGACUCGGAGGUUGUGCCCUUGAGGCGUGGCUUCCGGAGCUAACGCGUUAAGUCGACCGCCUGGGGAGUACGGCCGCAAGGUUAAAACUCAAAUGAAUGGACGGGGGCCCGCACAAGCGGUGGAGCAUGUGGUUUAAUUAGAUGCAACGCGAAGAACCUUACCUGGUCUUGACAUCCACGGAAGUUAUCAGAGAUGGGAAUGUGCCUUCGGGAACCGUGAGACAGGUGCUGCAUGGCCGUGGUCAGCUCGUGUUGUGAAAUGUUGGGUUAAGUCCCGCAACGAGCGCAACCCUUAUCCUUUGUUGCCAGCGGUUCGGCCGGGCACUCAAAGGAGACUGCCAGUGAUAAACCGGAGGAAGGUGGGGAUGACGUCAAGUCAUCAUGGCCCUUACGACCAGGGCUACACACGUGCUACAAUGGCGCAUACAAAGGGAAGCCACCUCGCGAGAGCAAGCGGACCUCAUAAAGUGCGUCGUAGUCCGGAUUGGAGUCUGCAACUCGACUCCAUGAAGUCGGAAUCGUUAGUAAUCGUGGAUCAGAAUGCCACGGUGAAUACGUUCCCGGUCCUUGUCCACACCGCCCGCCCCACCAGGGGAGUGGGUUGCAAAAGAAGUAGUUAGCUUAACCUUCGGAGGGCGCUACCACUAAGAUAAAGAAUCAUC